AUAUAUAUAUAUGUGGAUCCAUAUAUAGAAGAUGCAUUUGGAUCCGAAUCCAGAUUUUGCCAUAUGUACGUACUACUUUUGGCUUUUUUAUAGGUAUGGUAGCCUACUGUCUCCUAUUUUCUAGCAACAUAUUGCUUCGUUGAUUCCUCCUGUUUAGCAAAGCAAUCAAAUUUCUUCGAGGAAAUAACCACCUCCCGGAUGAUGGUCAUUUUUGGCCCCCUAAUUUUUUUUUUUUUUUGUCUUUUUCUAUCCGUGAUAUGGUGAAAUCUAGGCGUUACUCCGAUAUCUAGCAUACUUGGCGUAUGCUAGUUUCAUGUUCGUAUUUUUUUGUUAUUUUUCUCCUUCUCUUAACACAUGGCAUCUCUUAUUUAUUUUCCCAAACAAUUUUAUAUAUUACUUUUUUAUUUCUUUCUAGUGGAUCUUUUUAACACCCCUUAAGAAUUCUUACGGAACCUCUCGUUUUUUGCAUCUAUAGUUUUAACCUCAUUGAGAAUAAUAGUGGAAAUCAAAAUAAUUUUUUUAUACUCAUGUCUUCAAUGCCCCUGAAAAUAAGAAGUUUUCUCCUUUUUCUUCUUCUUUUUAUUUUUAGACCUAAAUGUCGUUUUAAAUAGUCUUUCAAUAAAAAUUUAAUAGUAAAUAAUAGACUCGACAUAAAAAUAAAUAAACACAAAAAUAUUAAAUAAAUCAUUACUUAGAAAAACAAAAAAAAAAGAAACUAAAAAUAGUUUGAAAUUUUAAUGAACUUUAAACAUGGUAUUUUAAGAGUGUUGUAAAAAAGGGGCGAUUUUGUUAUUAAAUGGAAUAUAAUUAAAAAAGGAAUUAAAAGAGAAUUUUAAAGGGUGUCAAUAAUUGAACUCCUAAACCGUUUCGAUUGUAAUUAGAUAAAUAGCACGUGUACAUAGUAGUACCCAUAAGUACGUUGGCGAUAUAAUUGGGCCCCGAGCCCCGUGUGAUCCACUACAAGGACCCAUUAAAUUGACUAGAAUCGCGUCUUUUGAUUGCGACGUCGGUGAACUUGAAAAAAUGAUAAUUUAAAAUUUAAAAUUGACUUUAGGUUUGGGAUUGAGGUUAAAAUAUUAUAAGUUGUUGAUUUCAUAAGUUUUAGAAAAAUAGUAUCCGGUAAAUUCUUUAAAACUUAUUUAUUA
rnacentral:lncRNA from 1 species